ensembl:lncRNA
UGAUAUGAUAUGUAAAAAAUGUUUUAUUAGUACCUGUAAAAGUCGGCAUAUCUUUUCAGUGAUGACCUUUAUGAUUCUGCUGGGUGUUCAGGGUGAGAGAGUAGGACGCACCUUGGAUCCUUGCCAUUGCUUUAUUGAACGCUCUGGUGCUGUUGCUUGGAAUGUAUUUUGGCAACGAUUGCUGGUACAGAAAUAAAGAUGAUGACAUGUUAUCUUCGAGAGCCAUUUACUACACCUUACGCCUGGGUGAGGCUAAACUCAAAGGUCUCAAAAAAAGAACAGACUGAAGACAAAAUCACAUCUGGAUGAAAGUGAAGACAUUUAUCACAUAUAGCUAUUGCAAAUGAACAAGCUGUACAUCGUCUGCUGUGUAUAGAACUAAACUAUAAAGAACUAUAAGUACCAAUAAAGUUCACAUGCUAACAAAUGCUGUCUGUUAUGUAGACAUUUGUUAAAUUAAACCACUUGUUGCUUCUGCUCUUUUUGCUUGUGCAUGAAUGCUGUUCAAAAGAAAAAAGCUGCUGCAGCUCAUUUCUUCUAGACAGCAGGUUCUCACUGUGGUCAACCACUAAUGUAAAUGUGUCGCAUUGCUUUGUUUUCCAAAACAGAUGAAGCAAAUUUGUGGUAAGCAGUGAAAUACACCUGCAAAGUUUGCUACUGA